UACGUAGGGCGCAAGCGUUAUCCGGAUUUAUUGGGCGUAAAGGGCUCGUAGGCGGCUCGUCGCGUCCGGUGUGAAAGUCCAUCGCUUAACGGUGGAUCUGCGCCGGGUACGGGCGGGCUGGAGUGCGGUAGGGGAGACUGGAAUUCCCGGUGUAACGGUGGAAUGUGUAGAUAUCGGGAAGAACACCGAUGGCGAAGGCAGGUCUCUGGGCCGUCACUGACGCUGAGGAGCGAAAGCGUGGGGAGCGAAC
rnacentral:rRNA from 1 species